rnacentral:rRNA from 1 species
CAGCGUGCUGCUUUGCUGACGUGUGGCGGAUGGGUGAGUAUGGUCUGGAGUUGUGCCUGAUGGAGGGGGAUAACUACUGGAAACGGUAGCUAAUACGGCAUAACGUCGCGCGACCCCUAGGGGGACCUUCGGGCCUCUUGCCGUCGGAUGGGCCCAGAUGGGAUUAGCUAGUUGGUGGGGUAACGGCUCACCUAGGCGACGAUCCCUAGCUGGUCUGAGAGGAUGACCAGCCACACUGGAACUGAGACACGGUCCGGACUCCUACGGGAGGCAGCAGUGGGGAAUAUUGCACAAUGGGCGCAAGCCUGAUGCAGGCAUGCCGCGUGUAUGAAGAAGGCCUUCGGGUUGUAAAGUACUUUCAGCGUGGAGGAAGGGAGUAAAGUUAAUACCUUUGCUCAUUGACGUUACCCGCAGAAGAAUGACCGGCUAACUCCGUGCCAGCAGCCGCGGUAAUACGGAGGGUGCAAGCGUUAAUCGGAAUUACUGGGCGUAAAGCGCACGCAGGCGGUUUGUUAAGUCAGAUGUGAAAUCCCCGGGCUCAACCUGGGAACUGCAUCUGAUACUGGCAAGCUUGAGUCUCGUACAGGGGUGGUAGAAUUCCUGGUGUAGCGGUGAAAUGCGUAUAGAUCUGGAGGAAUACCGGUGGC